GGGGAAAAAUUAAAAAUUUAUAAAUUAUAAAAAAAAUUUUAAUAAAAUUAAUUUAAUAGGGGGGGUUUAAGUUUAAUUUAUUAAAAAAUUAUUUUAUUUAUAGAGAAUUAUGUAUUGUGAAAGAAUUUUGAAAUAAAUGAAAAAUAAUUAAUUAAAAAGUAAUUUUAAUUUAAUGUAUCUUGUGUAUCAGAGUUUAAUAAAAAAAAAUUUUGGGGGAAAUUUUUUCGAAUUUAAAAGAGAUAAUUAAUUAAUAAAUUUACUGUAGAAUAAUUAUUUUUAAUAGUUAAUUUGAAAUGAAAUGUUAUUCGUUUUUAAAUAUAUCUAAUUUUUUUAAAAAAAAAUUUAAUUUUUAAAUUAUAAUUUAAUAUUUAAUUAAUUUUUUUAAUUAAAUAUAAAAAUAAUUUUUAUAAUUUAAGGGAUAAGCUUUAAAUUAAAUUAUUAUAAGUUAAAUUAAUAAUUUUAAAAUUUUUAAUAUUUAUAUUGUUUAAAAAUUAUAAUUUAUUAUAAAUAAUUUUAUUAAGAGAAAAAUUUAAUAAAUAAACUUUAGUUUUUUAUAAAAAAAAAAAUUUUAAUUAAAAAAAUUUAAUUAAAAUGUUAAAAUUAGUAUAUUAAUUUAUAUUAAUGUAAUUUAAAUAUAAAUAAAAUAAUUAAAAAGAAUUAGGCAAAAAUUUUUAUUCACCUGUUUAUCAAAAACAUGUCUUUUUGAAAAUAAUUUAAAGUCUAAUCUGCCCACUGAUAUAAUAAUUAAAGGGCUGCAGUAUAUUGACUGUACAAAGGUAGCAUAAUCAUUAGUCUUUUAAUUGAUGACUUGAAUGAAUGAUUUGAUGAGAUAUAAGCUGUUUCUUAAUUAAAAAUUGAAUUUAAUUUUUUAAUUAAAAAGUUAAAAUAAAUUUAAAAGACGAGAAGACCCUAUAGAGUUUAAUAAAUAGAAUAUAAAUUUAAAAUUAUAUAUAAAAAUUAAAUUAAAAUUUAAAUAUUUAUUUUGUUGGGGUGAUAAAAAAAUUAAAUUAACUUUUUUUUUAUAAAAACAUAAAUAAAUGAAUAUUUGAUCCAUAAUUUAUGAUUAAAAGAAAAAAUUACCUUAGGGAUAACAGCGUAAUUUUUUCUUUUAGUUCAAAUAAAAGAAAAAGUUUGCGACCUCGAUGUUGGAUUAAGAUAAAAUUUAAAUGUAAAAGUUUAAAAUUUUGAUCUGUUCGAUCAUUAAAAUCUUACAUGAUCUGAGUUCAAACCGGUGUAAGCCAGGUUGGUUUCUAUCUUUAAAUUAAUAAAAUACUUUAGUACGAAAGGAUCAAGUAUUUAAAAUAGUUUUUUUUUUUGAAUUUUAAUAAUUUUUUUUAAAAAUAUAAUAUAUAAAUAUAUUAUUUGGUAAA
rnacentral:rRNA from 1 species